rnacentral:rRNA from 1 species
CUCUGUGACUCCUACGGGAGGCAGCAGUGGGGAAUAUUGCACAAUGGGGGAAACCCUGAUGCAGCCAUGCCGCGUGUGUGAAGAAGGCCUUCGGGUUGUAAAGCACUUUCAGUAGGGAGGAAGGUAGUGUAGUUAACACCUGCAUUAUUUGACGUUACCUACAGAAGAAGCACCGGCUAACUCCGUGCCAGCAGCCGCGGUAAUACGGAGGGUGCGAGCGUUAAUCGGAAUUACUGGGCGUAAAGCGCAUGCAGGCGGCCUGUUAAGUCAGAUGUGAAAGCCCGGGGCUUAACCUCGGAAUUGCAUUUUGAAACUGGCAGGCUAGAGUCUUGUAGAGGGGGUAGAAUUUCAGGUGUAGCGGUGAAAUGCGUAGAGAUCUGAAGGAAUACCAGUGGCGAAGGCGGCCCCCUGGACAAAGACUGACGCUCAGAUGCGAAAGCGUGGGGAGCAAACAGGAUUAGAUACCCUGGUAG